CUACGGGGCGCAGCAGUGAGGAAUAUUGCACAAUGGGGGGAACCCUGAUGCAGCAACGCCGCGUGGAGGAUGACGCAUUUCGGUGUGUAAACUCCUUUUAUAUGUCAAGAAAAUGACGGUAGCAUAUGAAUAAGCACUGGCUAACUCCGUGCCAGCAGCCGCGGUAAUACGGAGGGUGCAAGCGUUACUCGGAAUCACUGGGCGUAAAGGACGCGUAGGCGGGUUGGAAAGUCAGGUGUGAAACCCUACAGCUUAACUGUAGAACUGCACUUGAAACUUCUAAUCUAGAGUAUGGGAGGGGGAGAUGGAAUUAGUGGUGUAGGGGUAAAAUCCGUAGAUAUCACUAGGAAUACCUAAAGCGAAGGCGAUCUCCUGGAACAUUACUGACGCUAAGGCGUGAAAGCGUGGGGAGCAAACAGGAUUAGAUACCCCGGUAGUC
rnacentral:rRNA from 1 species